CACUAAAAAGUGGCUCGCUACCAGCCCUGCCUAUACAGUGCGCGCGCCUUCGCAACAUAAAUGGUUGUGGCAUAAAUCAGCGGAAAAGCCUACUGCGACUGCGGUGUGGAGCACAGAGAGCACCUUGAAUGAUUGCUUGUUCGCACCGCAGUUUUGCCGCCACUGACACAGCCUACUGCUUUGCGGGCGCGCCCGCGUGGUGUGCUAUGCUAAGCGGAACAUGGUUUUAAACACCAACGACCGGUGGGAAAAUCAAUUUUACGGAUGACGUUAAUAAAUUGGAUUAAAUCCGGAUAAAUCAUAGUGCUGCUGCGAACAAUGUUGCGUGGGGAAAUCGAUCACUGUCCUGACGCGUUCGAUCGCGUUCUGAGUUGUGGGCUACCUCUUAUUAUUCCUGGAUCUGCGUCCCGACUGAGACAUCCCGCAUAGCAAAAUACAGUUUGCCUUACUUUGAGAACAAUAAACAUCUUAUAACGGUUACUGUUAAUGUAUCAGAAAUAGUUGCUUUUAUGUAUAACCAUAUGGACUUCAAAGCUGUUCACCAUUUCAAACAGUAAGAUCAACCCAUACCUAUCAGUAACAAUAUAUGAUACUGCUCUGAUAUUGUUAAAUUAUAUGGAAAUGGAUUCAAGCAAGAUAUGGUGGAAAUAUACCGCCACCAUUCGGCAAAUUGUUUUUGUUUAAAUUUGUGCAACACACUCACACAUUUGCAUUUGACAAUAUUGAACUACAUUUUAACAGUUCAACAAAUAGUUACAUUUUGUUGGUAUUUGUAGGCGAGGCGACACUUAAUCUAGCGUUGAGUGUAGAAAAAAAUCGCCGUCAGAUUGUCGUCGAAGGAAAACUGUCAAGCUGUAUUGUUUACUUCUUAUUCCACUGUUAAAACUGUUCAAAGCUUGCCAUUAAUUUAUAAAAGUCGAGUUAGAGUGAAAUUAAGUUUACAGAACAGCAAUGCACAUAAAAAAGGACAACUUCGAUGGACCCAGAACUGCGCACCAAAAUCGAUACCGCUUGCCGGAUGGAGGAGGAAUUCAUCAAUCUGUGCAACGAAAAAGUUGCCAAGAAGUGGCAUGAGAUGACCGGCUCUACAUGGACAACGGUUUGCUGAUGUCAUCAGCAACAUCCAGAAGAACUUCCAGGAACUGCCCCGCUUUGAACACAUUAUGAACACCCUGGUCACUCAGCCGAUCAUUGGCGACGCUGUGUCCUCGCAGCUGACGUUCAUCAUCAAGGUUUCGGGAACGGUCAUCUACCAGGACAAUUCUACCAAACCCUUCCAGAAGACAUUCACGGUUACAGCCCAGGGAGACAAGUGGAAGAUUGCGAGUGAUUGCAGCGCUGCUUCCGGUUGUUGGAUGCUAUCUUUUUAGGGAAUCGAUCAAUACAUGGAUGCAUUGGAAAGCGAUA